rnacentral:rRNA from 1 species
GACGUAGGGCGCGAGCGUUGUCCGGAUUUAUUGGGCGUAAAGAGCUCGUAGGCGGCUUGUUGCGUCGGCUGUGAAAUCCCAUGGCUCAACUGUGGGCUUGCAGCCGGUACGGGCGGGCUAGAGUUCGGUAGGGGAGACUGGAAUUCCUGGUGUAGCGGUGAAAUGCGCAGAUAUCAGGAGGAACACCGGUGGCGAAGGCGGGUCUCUGGGCCGAUACUGACGCUGAGGAGCGAAAGCGUGGGGAGCGAACAGG